CCACCUUUCAGGAGAGGCUGGAGCCCAGCAAUGAAGGGCCAGUGAUAGGUGGGAUCACACCUUAACCACACUGCUCAGGAAGACAACUUGAACAGCUCAGCCUGACCCAUUGCUCCAUUUCGACCCUGAAUGAUUGCCUCCUUGGACCAUGGACCAGGAUGGUUCUCAUGGGAGAACAAGCUGGCUGUGGGAGAUGCUGGGCACCCAUCCAGGGUAAUAGAGACUGAGUUAUGGAGCCGCUGCAACAUCGCCAAGGGUUUGAAUGAAGAAAACCUCAGUGUGAGAUCUCCGCCACGCGUGUUCACUAGCAAGCAGAUACAGAUAGUGCAUCGCUGGUUCAGUGAUGGGACCCCAACUCCUGCCUCCCCCAGUGCCCCAUGAACAAAGAGUUGAAUCUGGUUCAAAUGCGGCCCUAGUGGCAGGAUUUUCUGAGUUACUUGUUAGGAGUCAGCCAACCUACAAUCUUUUCACAUUAGAUGGACACAGGACUUUGUAGUGAACCAGGUGGGAGGACAUCCAUAGGGGUGAGGCAUUUUUAUAUGGCACUCAUGCAAGUGGGCUCUUCAAAUUAUUUCAGCCGUUCAUGUAUGUUAAGCAAACUAUUGAUUUUAUCAGUGGAAACGUGUGUCAACAGACAUCCAUUAUGCAAAUGAGAAAAAACCCUCAAGUGCUGGGUAGAGCACUUUAUAAUUUAAAUAGCUGAGGGUCUUGUAGUGGCCCCCUCUGGAGUGGGGCUCUCUGAUUAAACACCAGCGAACUCCUCCGGAGUCUACAUUCCUGAUUAGGACCGUGACUGUCACAUGGGAGUAGCCUAAAAACAAUGUCUAGAACACAGCAUGUUGAGAUACUUGAAAGUAAAUUGCAGAAGACAGGACGUCUUGUGCACUUGUAAAAGGACAAAAAGAAAACCCACCUUGCACUGUAAUCACCAGGGGAUUUAAUUAUGAGGAAAGCACAGUGCAGAGGUAAGCAGUCAGACUCAGAGCACUGGCUGCGACCUUGCUCUCUGCUUGGACAUGCAUAUUCAAAAGUGCUCUUGCUCUUGCUUUUGGUAAGAUGUUGAAUACCUUUUUGUUGUUAUCUAACCAUUUCACCACAGACUUGAAUAAUAUCAAAAUUGUAAUUCCUGACAUGCAAGAGUUAUUAAUAUUUUCAGUUAAAAUUCAUCUGUUAGUCUUUUGUAUUUAUCAAUAAAGUAUCU